UACCCAGAGUUGUUCAUAUUUUGCUGUGUAAAGUUGCAUUUCAACUUAGAGGUGCAAUGUUGCAUUAGGAUUUAAAGCUCCCUGGAUCUCCCAGACCCACAAUCCACAACAACAGUCCAAUCAAACGACCUUUGGUGGGUCAGCAAGAAAGAAAAGGAAAGUCAAGACAAGUGGAAGAUAUUUCAUACAGGAGGAUAAAUAAUGCUGCUUAAAAUGGUGUACCAUCUUUUUUUACAAAGUGACAUGAAGUUAAAACAAUUAAUGACUUCAAGUCUAAUGUGAGUUCAUUGUACUUUGGAUUCAACAGCCACAAAAAACCCAAAAGUCACCCAUUGGACACGCAAGUCCAUCUGAAGAGAUUUAGGCAAGUCCACCCCAUCUGUGACUGCAGGUGUGGAGAACAGAGCGUAGAAGGAGUUGGUGGGAGUGAAUUCUUAUCAAUAUGAUGAAUUAUGGUGCAGUCACUGAUCAGGAAUUGAGAAAGUGGCAGCAUCUCCCCCCUUCCAACCCCAAAAUCCCCCUGAAGCCCCCAGGAGUGGGGUCAGCACCGCCCUGGACACAGGGAAGAGCUCUCGGAAGGAUUUCCAUCCAAACCAGUGUCCCCGUGCACGAAAAAAAUCGCAGCUGAAAGAUGUUUUUUCAUGCAGUGAAUUCACCAGCUGUAAGCAGAGAGCAGA